UCAAGCUCCGACCUCUGUCUCUUCUUCUCGUUCGUCGACAUCAGCUCCAGGCCGCCGAGCAUGUGGUGCUCGUGGAGAUGGCGGUUCAAUUACAGGCCCCAUUUCUGAUGAUCUAUCAAACUUGCCUUUAACAUCAUUGAAUUCGGAACAAGAGCCUGGCAAAUUGAGGCUUGAAUAGACACCUGGGGCAUCUGAUCUUGCUGCAGGCCACCUCCAUAUGAAUGAUUCAGGAUCCCAUCUGCAGACCUUGACAUUUGAAAGAAAGCCCGGAGUCAUAGACCGACUUCACAGGAAAGUGAUAUCCUUCAGGAUGCCACAAAGGUGCCAAGGAUUGCCCCAUGAAGAGAAUCUUUCCUUCCAUAUAAAAAAUGUGUUCUCCAAAUAUAAGACGAGCUCGCAGUGGCAGGGACCUUGAUGUCCCAAAAGCUUUUGCCUUGGAAACCUAUACUGCUUCACCCUGAUUAAGACCCAGAUAACAGAAACAAAAUACAUGUAAGAUUCAUGGCUGAUGUGUUAUUCAAUUGGUACAACUGCUUAAUGCCCAA